rnacentral:rRNA from 1 species
AGGUGGGAUUACCCGCUGAACUUAAGCAUAUCAAUAAGCGGAGGAAAAGAAACUAACCAGGAUUCCCCCAGUAACGGCGAGUGAAGAGGGAAGAGCCCAAAUUUGUAAUCAGACUCC